rnacentral:lncRNA from 1 species
AUGCAGACGUGCGCACACGGUGUGCUGUGGGGGGCUCUCAUCGGGGGCUUGCUAGGGUUUUGUAAACAGCUGUUUGACGGGAGCUACUACGAUCUGGAUUACGAGCUGUACAGGGAAGAAUUCCCCUACAGGGUGUGUGACUACCAAAGGAUCCCUCCACUAAUCAACCGUGCACCUACCAAGAUCCGGGGGACCCACGUGGGCCCGGGGGUCAAGCACAGCUUUAGUCCCCACAAGGCUCCCAGGACUAGUCAACUGCCUGCAGGGCAGAUAAAGCUCCAGACUGAGGAGCUGCACUCCAUCAGAGGAGAGCUGAGCCAGAUCAAAGCCCAGGUGGAUCACCUGCUGGAGACUGUGGACCGCAUGGACCAGCAGAUGGACCAGCUUCCAGGGACGGAGGACUGCGAACAGAACCGGAGCUCCAGGAGUAAGGGUCCCUCAUACAGAACCGUAGAACCUCAUCAGGAGCCUACAGGCCAGAGGACCCAUCCAGAGGCAGACAGCUCCCCGAUCACAGACCCAGAAGACCCCAAGGAGGCAGUAAAGAAUCACGCAUCAGACCAGGAGGGCAGCCAGUAGAAGGCUGGAACUCCCCCAGUCUCAUCAGCUCCAGGCACUUUCUUCGGCGGUUCCUAUCCCCUGCCUUGAGUAGCACCCACGCUGGAGCAAGCGCAAAGAAGUGGAGGCAUGGCUCAGCCAGUCCAGCUGGGAAGCCUCCCCCCAGUGCUGACUUUAGCUUGAGGAUCAUGUUUCCAGAUGACCAUCUGGGGGCUAGCGGGGAAGGAAGGAGCCCUCCAAGUGCCCAGCACCAGCUCACCAUUCUCAUAAAGUUGAGGCCACUCCUGUUAAGAGACAGCUGGAAAGGGCCCCCCUGGGAGCACCACCAGCCCUCUGACUACAGGUACCUCCCUAGCUGCUUCUCCCCGCCCCUCGCCAAAGCCUUACCUGUCCUCUCUGGGUCUCAGCAGGAGUAUCACUUUUAUGUUGUUUCUACCUUGUCUCUUGCUGGUGUGAUCUUACAUAUUUCAGAUCUGCUUUGGAAAAAUAUGUCACUGAGGAGAAAUAAAAUUUUCUUUUCCCUGGUCAGGGGUCCUUAGUGUAGUCUCAAAGCCUCACUACAGUCUCUCAACUGCCCCUUUCUAGAGAAGCUGAGCAGGCCUCGGAGACACACAAGCUCAGAAGCUCACACCAAGUCAGGGC